GCCAGCCCGCUCAGAAACUCAAAGGAAGUUGACGGGGCCCGGCACAAGCGGUGGAGUAUGUGGUUUAAUUCGAUGCAACGCGAAGAACCUUACCUGGUCUUGACAUCCCGGAGACCCUUAGGAACUAGGGGCGCUUCCAUCUGGAAGAAUCUGGAGACAGGUGCUGCAUGGCUGUCGUCAGCUCGUGUCGUGAGAUGUUGGGUUAAGUCCCGCAACGAGCGCAACCCUUGCCUUUAGUUGCCAGCAGUUCGGCUGGGCACUCUAAAGGGACUGCCGGUGUUAAACCGGAGGAAGGUGGGGAUGACGUCAAGUCCUCAUGGCCUUUAUGACCAGGGCUACACACGUACUACAAUGGCCGAUACAAAGGGCAGCGACACUGCGAGGUGAAGCCAAUCCCGUAAAAUCGGUCUCAGUCCGGAUUGGAGUCUGCAACUCGACUCCAUGAAGUUGGAAUCGCUAGUAAUCGUGGAUCAGCAUGCCACGGUGAAUACGUUCCCGGGCCUU
rnacentral:rRNA from 1 species